AUUAACCUGAAAUGUUGGUUUCCUUGCUAUUUUGAACCUACAUUUACUUUGAACGGGAUUCUUAUAUUGUUGCAUGGCUGUCAGGCCUUCAUUGCGCAGAGGAAGACAAAAGUGUAAUUGCGGAUGCCCACCUAGCGUUAGCUAGGAGUCAAAGUGCAGGAACUGGCAUUUUGGGAUACAU
rnacentral:other from 1 species